AUUGAACGCUGGCGGCAGGCCUAACACAUGCAAGUCGAACGGAUCCUUCGGGAUUAGUGGCGGACGGGUGAGUAACACGUGGGAACGUGCCCUUUGGUUCGGAACAACUCAGGGAAACUUGAGCUAAUACCGGAUGUGCCCUUCGGGGGAAAGAUUUAUCGUCAUUGGAGCGGCCCGCGUCUGAUUAGCUAGUUGGUGAGGUAAAGGCUCACCAAGGCGCCGAGCAGUAGCUGGUCUGAGAGGAUGAUCAGCCAAAUUGGGACUGGGACACGGCCCAAACUCCUACGGGAGGCAGCAGUGGGGAAUCUUGCGCAAUGGGCGAAAGCCUGACGCAGCCAUGCCGCGUGAAUGAUGAAGGUCUUAGGAUUGUAAGAUUCUUUCACCGGGGACGAUAAUGACGGUACCCGGAGAAGAAGCCCCGGCUAACUUCGUGCCAGCAGCCGCCGUAA
rnacentral:rRNA from 1 species